rnacentral:tRNA from 1 species
UGUGGCGGAAUGGUAGACGGUACGGACUUAAAAUCCGUUGACCUUAAACGGUCGUGAGGGUUCAAGUCCCUCCACCCA